AUUGAACGCUGGCGGCAUGCCUUACACAUGCAAGUCGAACGGUAACGCGGGGCAACCUGGCGACGAGUGGCGAACGGGUGAGUAAUGCAUCGGAACGUGCCCAGUAGUGGGGGAUAACUGCUCGAAAGAGCAGCUAAUACCGCAUACGACCUGAGGGUGAAAGCGGGGGAUCGCAAGACCUCGCGCUAUUGGAGCGGCCGAUGUCAGAUUAGGUAGUUGGUGGGGUAAAGGCCCACCAAGCCAACGAUCUGUAGCUGGUCUGAGAGGACGACCAGCCACACUGGGACUGAGACACGGCCCAGACUCCUACGGGAGGCAGCAGUGGGGAAUUUUGGACAAUGGACGCAAGUCUGAUCCAGCCAUGCCGCGUGCGGGAAGAAGGCCUUCGGGUUGUAAACCGCUUUUGUCAGGGAAGAAACGCUCUGGGUUAAUACCUCGGGGUAAUGACGGUACCUGAAGAAUAAGCACCGGCUAACUACGUGCCAGCAGCCGCCGUAAGAC
rnacentral:rRNA from 1 species